rnacentral:rRNA from 1 species
AGUGAGGAAUAUUGGUCAAUGGGCGAAAGCCUGAACCAGCCAUCCCGCGUGCAGGAUGACGGCCCUAUGGGUUGUAAACUGCUUUUGUUUGCCAAGAAUGGUUACUACGUGUAGUAAUUUGACGGUAGCAAAUGAAUAAGGACCGGCUAACUCCGUGCCAGCAGCCGCGGUAAUACGGAGGGUCCAAGCGUUAUCCGGAUUCAUUGGGUUUAAAGGGUGCGCAGGCGGAACUUUAAGUCAGUGGUGAAAUCUUGCCGCUUAACGGUAAAAUUGCCAUUGAUACUGAAGUUCUUGAAUGUGGUUGAGGUAGGCGGAAUGUGUUGUGUAGCGGUGAAAUGCAUAGAUAUGACACAGAACGCCGAUUGCGAAGGCAGCUUACUAAGCCAUGAUUGACGCUGAGGCACGAAAGCGUGGGGAGCGAACAGGAUUAGAUACCCUGGUAGUCCACGCCGUAAACGAUGAUCACUCGCUGUCUGCGAUACACAGUAGGCGGCUGAGCGAAAGCAUUAAGUGAUCCACCUGGGGAGUACGAUCGCAAGGUUGAAACUCAAAGGAAUUGACGGGGGCCCGCACAAGCGGAGGAACAUGUGGUUUAAUUCGAUGAUACGCGAGGAACCUUACCUGGGCUUAAAUGUAGAUUGCAUAAUUUAGAAAUAGAUUUUCCCUUCGGGGCUAUUUACAAGGUGCUGCAUGGUUGUCGUCAGCUCGUGCCGUGAGGUGUCGGGUUAAGUCCCAUAACGAGCGCAACCCCUAUCGUUAGUUGCUAGCAGGUAAUGCUGAGGACUCUAGCGAGACUGCCACCGUAAGGUGAGAGGAAGGUGGGGAUGACGUCAAAUCAGCACGGCCCUUAUGUCCAGGGCUACACACGUGUUACAAUGGCAGGUACAAAGGGCAGCUACACAGCGAUGUGAUGCUAAUCUCUAAAGCCUGUCCCAGUUCGGAUUGGAGUCUGCAACCCGACUCCAUGAAGUUGGAUUCGCUAGUAAUCGGAUAUCAGCCAUGAUCCGGUGAAUACGUUCCCGGGCCUUGUACACACCGCCCGUCAAACCAUGGAAGCUGGGGGUGCCUGAAGUCUGUGACCGCAAGGAGCGGCCUAGGGUAAAACUAGUAACUAGGGUU